AUUGAACGCUGGCGGCAUGCCUUACACAUGCAAGUCGAACGGCAGCACGGGAGCUUGCUCCUGGUGGCGAGUGGCGAACGGGUGAGUAAUGCAUCGGAACGUACCCGGAAGUGGGGGAUAACGUAGCGAAAGUUACGCUAAUACCGCAUAUUCUGUGAGCAGGAAAGAGGGGGAUCGCAAGACCUCUCGCUUUCGGAGCGGCCGAUGUCGGAUUAGCUAGUUGGUGGGGUAAAGGCCUACCAAGGCGACGAUCCGUAGCGGGUCUGAGAGGAUGAUCCGCCACACUGGAACUGAGACACGGUCCAGACUCCUACGGGAGGCAGCAGUGGGGAAUUUUGGACAAUGGGCGGAAGCCUGAUCCAGCCAUGCCGCGUGAGUGAAGAAGGCCUUCGGGUUGUAAAGCUCUUUCGGCUGAAAAGAAAUCGCACAGGCUAAUACCUUGUGUGGAUGACGGUAUCCGCAUAAGAAGCACCGGCUAACUACGUGCCAGCCGCCGCCGUAAUAC
rnacentral:rRNA from 1 species